rnacentral:lncRNA from 1 species
AAAAUAUAUGAAAAGUCGUCGGCUAAGGUCAAAAAAUUUCAAAAUUUUUUAGGCGGUAAACCAAAGUUGGAGGAAAAUUUUCAAAGGACUUUAGCCGACGAAAAUAUAUGAAAAGUCGUCGGCUAAAGUCGAAAAAUUUUCAAAAUUUUACAACCAAAAUUUUUUUGGCGGUCAACCAAAAUUUUCAAAAGAGUUUAGCCGACGAAAUUCUUUAUUUUCGUCGGCUAAAGUUCUUUAUAUAGGCGAAGAUGGAUGGUAAGAAGUCUAUUAUCUGCCAGAUUUUCUUCUCGGCCUAGCUCCGCCGUCAAGCCACCGGAGACCGUCACACUAGUCCCAAAAGCUUCGCCGUCGUCUCUACUUCAUUGCUGGAUAGGUGGUGCAUCGAGUGGCGCCGCCAUGAGGGAUAAAUUGAGCUCCAAAACUCCGCCGGUUCGGAUUCGGUGUCGAUCAAAUUUCUCCUUCCUUAGGUCACCAUUUGGUGAGUUCUAUAUAUGGAUAAGUUGAGUUUGAUUAGUACUACAUUCCCCUAGAAUUUGGUAGCUCGAUUCGGUGUGUGUGAAGAGAAUCGAAGAUUUGAAGUUUUUAGGGUUUAAAAUUGGGGAUUUUUAUAUUUUGAGUCGAUUGACCUGUUUAGGCUUAGAAUUGAGCUUCGAUUUCUUCUAGAAAGUUGUUCGAAAUGUUGAGACGAAUAUUCUGUCAAAUUUUGGUCGUGAUUGGAGGUGGCCGAAAGUUUCUGUAGUUUUUUUUUCAAAACCCAGCAACUUUAGCCGACGAUAUUUAAACACUAUAUUCGUCGGCUAUAGUAUUUUUUAAUUUUUUUUAUAAGGUUUAGCCGACGAAUUAUGGCAUGUUUCGUCGGUUAUAGUUAUUUUUUUAAUUUUUUAUAAG